GAAACGUCAAAGGGCAUUCUUUCUAUUUUGACUAGCUCUUAUAUUGCAACUGGAUAUUGAGGGCUUUAGGACAUUCUUCCUUACUUUCUUCCGCUUACCCAGUUGGUAUGGUUUAAGUUUCUUUUACCUUUAUUCUUCUCUUGUUUAUUUGUAUUUAGUUGUUACUAGUGAGGUUUGCAGAAACUGAGUGCGCACUUAUCAGACCAAUUGAUGACAAACGAUCUCCAAUUCUUAAUAUAGCAUGGUUGAGAUUUACCUGCAAAAACAAAAAAAAAAAGACUUGAGAAGGGAACACCUGGCCUUUGUAGGGUCCACUCCAAUGAUUAAGCCAGUAAACAGAGAGCUAGAUGAAAGAUGAAUUUACUAAAGAUUGAGAUGAUCUUUCAUACUUGAUAGGAAACAUAUUUAUAUUGCAUGAAUAGUAUAACAUGUAGGUGAUAUAAUUCUAAUUGAAUAAUACCAUGUCGCGUAUGUGUCAAUGAAGGUUAGAUUGACUUAGGUAAUCCACACUAAGUUGUAAUAGAGUUGUAAGCAUAUAGUUGUAUCUGAAGUAUCCUUGUGUUGGUUAAAGAACUUGUGUCUGUGUAGUCAAAUGGAUCAUGGGAACAUAUAUCUCGGAACCAAUGUCAAAAGGUUCAUUUGAUAAUACAUGAAGACUGUCCCUAGGUUCUGAUUUCAUAGGAGAGGUAAAUUUUCCAUAUGUUAUCAGGAUGUAACAGCGAAGCAUCUUCUAGUGUAUAUUUGGUGAAAAAAAGUUCCUAUAAGCUUAAUAGCUGGACACUCUAUAAAUUCUAACCGAUUUCACGAUAUUGCAUCAAGCCUUGCACCUUUACGUUCGAACAACUGAUGUAUGUAUCUUCUUGUGCAGGAUGCGGCAGGGAUUCCUUGGUUCUACUAUGUCCUCAGCUGAUCUCAUACUAUUUGCCCUCUAUAUGUUUGUUAUUGCACGAAAUGACAUGAGAAUGUGCCUUGUUAGGCAU
rnacentral:misc_RNA from 1 species